AUUGAACGCUGGCGGCAGGCUUAACACAUGCAAGUCGAGCGGGGUGAUGGUGCUUGCACUAUCACUAGCGGCGGACGGGUGAGUAAUGCUUAGGAAUCUGCCUAUUAGUGGGGGACAACAUCUCGAAAGGGAUGCUAAUACCGCAUACGUCCUACGGGAGAAAGCAGGGGAUCACUUGUGACCUUGCGCUAAUAGAUGAGCCUAAGUCGGAUUAGCUAGUUGGUGGGGUAAAGGCCUACCAAGGCGACGAUCUGUAGCGGGUCUGAGAGGAUGAUCCGCCACACUGGGGCUGAGACACGGCCCAGACUCCUACGGGAGGCAGCAGUGGGGAAUAUUGGACAAUGGGGGGAACCCUGAUCCAGCCAUGCCGCGUGUGUGAAGAAGGCCUUAUGGUUGUAAAGCACUUUAAGCGAGGAGGAGGCUCUUUCGGUUAAUACCCAAGAUGAGUGGACGUUACUCGCAGAAUAAGCACCGGCUAACUCUGUGCCAGCCGCCGCCGUAA
rnacentral:rRNA from 1 species